UUUGGUACUGCUGACACCCAAAAAACAAUUAAACUAUGGUUUUUACUGGAAUUUUAGCCGUAUAAAUAUAGGGCUUCGACGGUUGUGAAUGUAUCACAGUUUAUAAUUUCAAUUGUUAAUCAACACUAGACUUCUCCUCCUCCGGUAAAAUGUUCAAGUUGUUCGCCAUCCUCCUCCUCGUCGCCUGCGCCAUGGCGGUUGCCAGCGCGCAAUACUUGGCAUACCCAAGAGCCGCCGUCGUCUCGCCGUACGCUUAUCGGUCCGCCUAUGCCGCCCCCAUUGCGGCUUAUCGACCAGCCGUGUACUAUGGUUAAAAACUUCUUCGGAUAAGACGCCACAGAGCAUAAUUCAAUUCAUGACACCCAAAAUUUCGGAACACUAAACCAACCCCACGCUUUUUUCUAUUGAGAAACAUUUAUUUUCGACUUGUAAAAAAAUACUACGAAUAUGGAAAUUAACUAAUAAAAACAAUUGGCAUUUGAAAAUCAGA